GGCACUGUGCAGUGCACACCUGAAAGUUGGCAAGGUGAUGGAGAAACUGGUUGAACUGACUGAAGCUGUGGAGAACAGAUUGGCUGCAGGAGCAGUAACAUCAGCGACUCUGCAGCAGAUUCCUACAACCCAUCUCAUGAGGUAAAAAGGAUCCACAGGAGUCUGGAGGAUGGGCACAAAUACAGAGGAAAUGAGAGAUUCAUGUCUGAGCACAACUCCGGUGGCACAAAUUCAAUGUUGUGGUCAAUUGCAGAUGAAGAGGAAUGUGACACCUCUUUGAUCAGAAGAGCAACAGAUACUUUGAGAACAUCAGGAGGGAAUCUAAGUUGUCAGAAGACAAAGUGGAAGAGGAUCGGAGGGCCAAAGCUCUCAACAACCGAAGACAUAGAGUGAGUUGAAUCACUUAUAGAUUUGUUUAUUUUUAAGAUCCUUUAGAAUGCAUCAGAUUUCUGAUUUGCUUUUGUAUCACAUUACAUUGUUGUAGUCAGCAGUUUUAUCUCUGGAUACAACAACUGAAAUGUGUUGUAUGAACUGUGCAUAAAGAUGAAGUUUCUGGCAGUGCAGAGGCAGUAAAAAAUGUUUUAUUAUGUUCAUUUUUUAAUGUAUACAUUUAAAGUGUUCUCAUUGACCUAUAAAUGUCAUUCUCCAUUGAGAGUAAUAUCUAAUGUUUUCUGUUAAAGCUUUUCAAUUCACGCCGA